rnacentral:rRNA from 1 species
CACGCCGUAAACGAUGAAUACUAGGUGUAGGAGGUAUCGACUCCUUCUGUGCCGUAGCAAACGCAUUAAGUAUUCCACCUGGGGAGUACGGCCGCAAGGUUAAAACUCAAAGGAAUUGAC